rnacentral:tRNA from 1 species
GGUUCUGUAAUUCAGUGGUAGAAUGCCUGCUUUACAUGUCAAGCGCAGUAUGUCGUGGGUUCGAUCCCCACCGGAGUCA